rnacentral:lncRNA from 1 species
AUGGGUGGCACAAAAUACUCCAUUCUCAUCUAUUCUCAUAAUGCCAUCUCAUGUGUCCAUCCGAUCUGUUCGAGGCACAAAGCCUCUUAAGUCUAGAGAUGAGUGGCAAAUAAUGCAUCAUCUUGUAAAGUACUUGUCUGUGAUUCCCACUUCCUGUCCUACUUGAUUUGUAUUGAGGAUGCCAACAAAACUUGCAAUCAGUUAAAGACUCAUCAUCUUUGUUAUAUAAUAUACACUCAUUGAAGCAAUAAUCUAUAUUUUUAGCAGAUAGGCCAAGCUUUGAAACUAAUUUCUUUUUCUUAUAGA